UCCGUAGUGGAAGGGAAACAACCCAGACCGUCAGCUAAGGUCCCAAAAUUAUAGUUAAGUGGGAAACGAUGUGAAAAGGCCCAGACAGCCAGGAGGUUGGCUUAGAAGCAGCCAUUCCUUUAAAGAGUGCGUAAUAGCUCACUGGUCAAGUCGGUUUGCGCGGAAGAUUUAACGGGGCUAAAACUAUAUACCGAAGCUGCGGAUUGAUGUUUGCUUGCAAACAUCGAUGGUAGGAGAGCGUUCUGUAAGCUGUUGAAGGUAGACUGUAAGGUCUGCUGGAGGUAUCAGAAGUGCGAAUGCUGACAUGAGUAACGAUAAAGGGGGUGAAAAACCCCCUCCGCCAGAAGUCCAAGGUUUCCUACGCAACGUUAAUCGGCGUAGGGUUAGUCGGCCCCUAAGGCGAGGCAGAGAUGCGUAGUCGAUGGGAAACAGGUUAAUAUUCCUGUACUUCAUAUAACUGCGAUGGGAAGACGAAGAAGGUUAACGCAGCAGGGCGAUGGUUGUCCCUGUUCAAGCGUGUAGAGUAGGUUCUUAGGCAAAUCCGGGAACCUUAGUUUCAGUACUAGGCUUAAGGCGUGAUAACGAUCCCUCUUUUGGGAGAAGUGCGUGAUACCAUGCUUCCAGGAAAAUCCUCUAAGCUUCAGGUUAUAUGAAACCGUACCCCAAACCGACACAGGUGGACGAGAUGAGAAUUCUAAGGCGCUUGAGAGAACUUGGGUGAAGGAACUAGGCAAAAUGACACCGUAACUUCGGGAGAAGGUGUGCUCUUGUUAGGUGAUUUCACUUGCUGAAUGAGCUGAAAAGAGUUGAAGAUACCAGGUGACUGCGACUGUUUAUUAAAAACACAGCACUCUGCAAACACGUAAGUGGACGUAUAGGGUGUGACGCCUGCCCGGUGCUUGAAGGUUAAUUGAUGGGGUUAGCGUAAGCGAAGCUCUUGAUCGAAGCCCAAGUAAACGGCGGCCGUAACUAUAACGGUCCUAAGGUAGCGAAAUUCCUUGUCGGGUAAGUUCCGACCUGCACGAAUGGCGUAACGACGGUCACACUGUCUCCACCCGAGACUCAGUGAAAUUGAAAUUGCUGUUAAGAUGCAGUAUACCCGCGGCCAGACGGAAAGACCCCGUGCACCUUUACUACAGCUUUGCAUUGAACUUUGAUCCUAUUUGUGUAGGAUAGGUGGGAGGCUUUGAAGCGUGAACGCUAGUUUGCGUGGAG
rnacentral:rRNA from 1 species